rnacentral:rRNA from 1 species
CUCAUUAAAUCAGUUAUCGUUUAUUUGAUAGUACCCUUACUACAUGGAUACCUGUGGUAAUUCUAGAGCUAAUACAUGCUAAAAACCCCGACUUCAGGAAGGGGUGUAUUUAUUAGAUAAAAAACCAACGCCCUUUCGGGGCUCCUUGGUGAAUCAUAAUAACUUAACGAAUCGCAUGGCCUUGCGCCGGCGAUGGUUCAUUCAAAUUUCUGCCCUAUCAACUUUCGAUGGUAGGAUAGUGGCCUACCAUGGUGGCAACGGGUAACGGGGAAUUAGGGUUCGAUUCCGGAGAGGGAGCCUGAGAAACGGCUACCACAUCCAAGGAAGGCAGCAGGCGCGCAAAUUACCCAAUCCCGAUACGGGGAGGUAGUGACAAUAAAUACUGAUACGGGGCUCUUUUGGGUCUCGUAAUUGGAAUGAGAACAAUUUAAAUCCCUUAACGAGGAACAAUUGGAGGGCAAGUCUGGUGCCAGCAGCCGCGGUAAUUCCAGCUCCAAUAGCGUAUAUUAAAGUUGUUGCAGUUAAAAAGCUCGUAGUUGAACCUUGGGUCUGGCUGGUCGGUCCGCCUCACCGCGAGUACUGAUCCGGCUGGACCUUUCCUUCUGGGGAACCUCAUGGCCUUCACUGGCUGUGGGGGGAACCAGGACUUUUACUGUGAAAAAAUUAGAGUGUUCAAAGCAGGCCUUUGCUCGAAUACAUUAGCAUGGAAUAAUAGAAUAGGACGUGCGGUUCUAUUUUGUUGGUUUCUAGGACCGCCGUAAUGAUUAAUAGGGAUAGUCGGGGGCGUCAGUAUUCAGCUGUCAGAGGUGAAAUUCUUGGAUUUGCUGAAGACUAACUACUGCGAAAGCAUUCGCCAAGGAUGUUUUCAUUAAUCAGGGAACGAAAGUUAGGGGAUCGAAGACGAUCAGAUACCGUCGUAGUCUUAACCAUAAACUAUGCCGACUAGGGAUCGGACGGGAUUCUAUAAUGACCCGUUCGGCACCUUACGAGAAAUCAAAGUU